CAGCCACACUGGAACUGAGACACGGUCCAGACUCCUACGGGAGGCAGCAGUGGGGAAUAUUGCACAAUGGGCGCAAGCCUGAUGCAGCUAUGCCGCGUGUAUGAAGAAGGCCUUUGGGUUGUAAAGUACUUUCAGCAGCGAAGAAGGCGAUAAAGCUAAUAACUUUAUCGAUUGACGUUACCUGCAAAAGAAGCACCGGCUAACUCCGUGCCAGCAGCCGCGGUAAUACGGAGGGUGCGAGCGUUAAUCGGAAUUACUGGGCGUAAAGCGCACGUAGGUGGUUUGUUAAGUCAGAUGUGAAAUCCCCGGGCUUAACCUG
rnacentral:rRNA from 1 species